rnacentral:rRNA from 1 species
CCUACGGGGGGCAGCAGUGGGGAAUAUUGGACAAUGGGCGAAAGCCUGAUCCAGCCAUGCCGCGUGUGUGAAGAAGGCCUUCGGGUUGUAAAGCACUUUCAGUGGGGAAGAAAGCCUUGGGGCUAAUACCCUCGAGGAAGGACAUCACCCACAGAAGAAGCACCGGCUAACUCCGUGCCAGCAGCCGCGGUAAUACGGAGGGUGCGAGCGUUAAUCGGAAUUACUGGGCGUAAAGCGCGCGUAGGCGGUCUGAUAAGCCGGUUGUGAAAGCCCCGGGCUCAACCUGGGAACGGCAUCCGGAACUGUCAGGGUAGGGGGCAGGAGAGGAAGGGAGAAUUCCCGGUGGAGCGGGGAAAUGCGUAGAGAUCGGGAGGAAUACCAGUGGCGAAGGCGGCCUUCUGGACUGACACUGACGCUGAGGUGCGAAAGCGUGGGUAGCAAACAGGAUUAGAUACCCCUGUAGUC